ACUCCUGCGGGAGGCAGCAGUGGGGAAUUUUGGACAAUGGGCGAAAGCCUGAUCCAGCAAUGCCGCGUGAGUGAAGAAGGCCUUCGGGUUGUAAAGCUCUUUUGUCAGGGAAGAAACGGUGAAAGCUAAUAUCUUUUGCUAAUGACGGUACCUGAAGAAUAAGCACCGGCUAACUACGUGCCAGCAGCCGCGGUAAUACGUAGGGUGCAAGCGUUAAUCGGAAUUACUGGGCGUAAAGCGUGCGCAGGCGGUUUUGUAAGUCUGAUGUGAAAUCCCCGGGCUCAACCUGGGAAUUGCAUUGGAGACUGCAAGGCUAGAAUCUGGCAGAGGGGGGUAGAAUUCCACGUGUAGCAGUGAAAUGCGUAGAUAUGUGGAGGAACACCGAUGGCGAAGGCAGCCCCCUGGGUCAAGAUUGACGCUCAUGCACGAAAGCGUGGGGAGCAAACAGGAUUAGAUACCCUUGUAGUCCCAUGAU
rnacentral:rRNA from 1 species